UCCCUCAUAGCUCAGUAGGUCAAGAAUCUACCUGCAAAGCAGGAGACCCAGGUUCGAUUCCUGGGUCGGGAA
rfam:Ovis aries breed Texel chromosome 6, whole genome shotgun sequence.